UACGUAGGGGGCAAGCGUUGUCCGGAAUUAUUGGGCGUAAAGCGCGCGCAGGCGGUGAGGAAAGUCUGAUGUAUAAACCUGAGGCUCAACCUUGGGGCGCAUUGGAAACUGGCUGACUGGAGUGUAGGAGAGGGAAGUGGAAUUCCACGUGUAGCGGUGAAAUGCGUAGAGAUGUGGAGGAACACCAGUGGCGAAGGCGACUUUCUGGCCUAUAACUGACGCUGAGGCGCGAAAGCGUGGGGAGCAAACAGG
rnacentral:rRNA from 1 species